rnacentral:rRNA from 1 species
UACGUAGGGGGCGAGCGUUGUCCGGAAUUACUGGGCGUAAAGGGUCUGUAGGUGGCUUGCUAAGUCAGACGUGAAAUCCCUCAGCUUAACUGGGGAACUGCGUCUGAGACUGGCGAGCUUGAGGGCAGGAGAGGAACGCGGAAUUCCAGGUGUAGCGGUGAAAUGCGUAGAUAUCUGGAGGAACACCGGUGGCGAAGGCGGCAUCCUGGACCGACACUGACGCUGAGGAGCGAAAGCCAGGGGAGCAAACGGG